GGCACCUCAUUGUAUCCUCAAAUGGAUAAAAUUAUUUAGGACUAACAAUUGCAGCAUGUCUCAUAGGUAUGUCUGAUAGCUUCUCAAUAAUGCAUAACUGAAAGUUUCUAUCAAGCUGUGUUUUUUGACUUGGUGUCAAUGAUUGAAGCAGCUGGUCCACACAUCUGCUUCUUUUUAGCUGUUGAAAGAAUGUGUAGAGAGAGAGAGAGAGAGAGAGAGAGCUAUUGCUUCACUUCCAUCCUUAGCAGGAUGUUGUGAACACAUCAAAUAAUUUCCCAACAGUAUCUUAUAUGGAGGAUAAGACCAGCAUUCUUUUAUGAUUCUGCUGCAUAAUUAAUUUGCUGAUGCAGAUGAGACUGGACAGGUUGAUGUUUGAGUCAAGCCCUUGUCAUUGAUUUCUUCUCAGUUGAUCCAUAUUAUGAUAAAUCUUUGACUGGCAAAAAAAAAAAAAGGAGCUGAGACUGCUCUAGUGUUUUGAUUUAUAGUGAGGGCCCUGUUGAGGAUGCUCAGCAGCAGCAAGAUUAACUGAAGGGUAGACAGCAGCACUCAACUCAGAAUAAUUUUUGCUGUAAGCACAAAAGAUCUGCUUUGCUUGGAUCAGUCCUCCAUGAUCCAAAUGGUUUUUCCUGACCGUGAGCCUAGAAGCUUGUAACUUGGGGCUUCAAUCUGGCAGAGCUUCUGUGUUCUUCUGAAUCACAGAAAAAGAGUUUGUCAAAUGAGAGAGAGUUUACAGAACCUAAGCAAAGUAGAAGAGACUUUAAGACAAGUGCUAGAUUUGGCAAAGAUAGAAGAUCAUUCUGAAAAAGUUAUAAAAAGAUGAUCUGAUUCUCCUUUAGAGCUCAUUGAAUUGAAACAGAAGAAUCUUAGGAUGCCCAGACAAUUGUGCUUUUUCAGAAGGUAAAUGGAUGUUACUUACAAGAUCUAUAUUUGACUGCAUGCAAUUUACUUAGUUGUCCAUCAACCAAUCGAUUAAUUUAUUUGCUUGCAUUCAAAAUUACAAGUUGGGAGAUAUGUGCUCCUGUUACCCAAAUCAUCAAGACUCUAUCAGUCACUUGAUGAUGAAUGAACAUACUGAAAGAAAGCUGAUAUACAUUAAUAUGCAAAAAGAAGAAUCAUGGAGCUACUGAACAAUAAUAUAUCAUUAGCCAAGCCUUUUGCUUUUCUGUGGUUCCAGAUUUUGCUCUAUGUAAGAUGUUUGUUAUCUCUUUGAUUGAGACCCCUUAAUCAAUCAGUGUUUGCUUUGUUACCUACAGAACAAUAUAUCAUUAGCUAAGCUUUUUGCUUUAUCAGUGCUGCCCCAUAGAAUUUGUUUUUUCUUUUUUACCUUAUUUUCUAUUCUACAUGGCUAUGAUAGAUCCAAACAUAGAACCCGAAUGAUUUAUCUGUCAAUUUUGCCUCGCUUUUUCUUUGUUUCUUUUUUCUUUUUCAAUUUCCAGAUGCUUAUUCCUUCAAAGUAAUAACAAGUCGUAACUCAGAAAUUUGCUAAAUCAAAACGAGACUUUCAUCCAGUGAAAAGGAAGAGAAAAUAUAAGAUAUCACACAAAUAGAAAGUCAUUUUAUGGUUGACCAUAUAACACUGCAGAAGCCACAUAAAAGUCUUGGUGUCUAUAUAUGAACAAUCAAAUGUAACAGAUCAAGCAGAAAUAAUAAGCAAGUCCUUAUUUUCGCAAAUAUUUGAGACUGCAUUAUGGACAUGGAAGUAUCAGCCUAUUCCUGGAGAGCCAUUAUUGGAACCAUCAACAAAAUUCAUUAAGUUUCUUGAAUUAGUUCUGAAUUCUUCUUUUGCCUAAGUUACUGAUGAACUUUACCAUAUUGCUGAAGGAGAGCAAAUUAGUUCAGAACUUUACCAACUUGCCAAGUUACUGAAUUCUUCUUUUGCCUAAGUUACUGAUGAACUUUACCAACUUGCUGAAGGAGAGCAAAUUAUGGACAUGGAACUAUGGAAGUAUCAAUCUAUGCCUGGAGAGGCAUUAUCAGAACCAUCAACAAAUUCAUUAAGUUUCUUGAAUUAGUUCUAAAUUCUUUUGCCUAAGUUACUGAUGAACUUUACCAACUUGCUAAGGAGAGCAAAUUAGUUCAGCAAAGUUGCACCACAGUUCACAAUUAAAAGCAUUUCAUCCAUCAAGCCUUCCAGAACAACAAGUGGGCAAGUGAAUUCAUGUGGUCUGCUGUCAGACUCUUUGUCCACUUUCCCAAGAAAAUCUUCUGAAAAUUGAUGUCACGUAGGAACCUCUCCUGGUGUCCUCUUCCUCUCACUCGUUUGCUACCUUCCAGUGGAAGGUGGGGCACUAAAUUCAGCAGUAUCUCAAAAGCUGAGCCUCCUACUUGGAUGAUCUGGCCCCUAGCACCACUACCAAAAGCUUCUAGAAGAAUUGAAACAAGCACAUACAUUACAAGGACUAUGAUAUCUUACAACUUGUGGCUGUCAGAGUGGUUGUGUUUCUAAAAUCCAGAAUUUGAUCACUGAUUUACCAAGAAGAUGACAAAGACCAUAUUGUGCUUUGAUUAUGUCUCUUUUAAAUUCUGCAUUGCAUGAAGAGGGUGGCUCUUCAUUGGUGUGAUUCCAAGGUAAUUUUUCAUCAGAUAUGAGGGUACUGAGUUGAGAUCUUCCUGCAACAAAUGCUGUUUGACAUGAAUCAGAACACUAAUCUGUUGCAGACAGACUUGACUUAUCCAGACCCACUGUCAGCCAUUUUCAUCUUGCUUCAUAAUUAUAGUCAAAGACUGGCUGUGGCAGCCAGCACACUAACAGUGAGAUGUGAUCUAAAGUUGUGAGAAAAAUACAAAGAUCUUUGGAAAUUAUUUGGGACUGGGGACCAUAUUUGAGCACUUUCCUUAUCUGAAAGGAUAAGGAUUGAUGAAGUCUUGUACAAGUCCCAGUCUUGUCCUUAAGAGCUUCUGCAUGGGUAUCAAACACUUGCAUAUUGUGCAAAGUUUGACAUGUAGCAGAACAAAAGUUUGAAGUCUUUUAUCCAAUUUCUUGAAAGCUCUUCUCGAGCAUGGUGGUAAAAACUUGCUACUUUCAAAACUUGUUGCAUAUCUGAUUGUUUGCAUUUGUUUUGGCAGAAGGAACUCCAUGCCAAAGAAAAAAUCAAGAACUGGCACACCUAUCUGACAACAUUAUUUUUAUCUUUGUUGACAUGGAAACCAUCUCUUGAUGAGAACUGGUUGCCCAGAAGUAUCAAACACUGCAAACUAAGCAUAUAAUUCCAUGUUAGCUAACAUAUCCAUAUAGCACUAGCAAAACCAGUUUUAUCUGCACAGCUCAAAACGGAAGUUAGAUCAAAUACUGGAAUUUUAAGCCAGCAGAGGUUUUAGAGCAAAAUUAAUGCUGAUUAGACCAAUGAGGCAAAUAUUCUAAGGACAACACUGAAAUUUCCUUGGCAUCUUUUAAUAGACAAUAGCAGUUAAAUGCUACAUAUGCGCAAUGAAGUGCAAAGCAGAAAAUUUGCUAAAACCAUCCACCGGUACGCACAUUCAACUAUUCAGGAUAUUAAGUGCAGCAAGAUAGAAUUUUUGAAGGAGCUAACUGAAUUUAAGCCCAAUUAUUUUCAUCUUCUUCCUCGACAACAUUGUUCGGUAUAGUCCUAAUCUGAUCUGAGCUUAAAUGAACACAUGGAAAAAGUAGGAUUCAUUAAACAUUUCAAUCUAAGAUUUCUGAUGACAACAUGUAAACCACGAAAAUCAAGAAUCUAAAACCACAUCUCACAGGAUAUGCACAAGUGUAUUCAACCAUGGAUGACAAUUAGCAUGUUUUUAAUGAUGCUCGAGUAUGGAUCACUAUCUGCAUUUGGCAUGAGUAAAAUAACUAAAUUUUCAUUCAGAAAAUAACCAGUGGUCAGAGAGUUAAUUACAAGAAACAAUACAUCAUAACCGAAAUGGUGGAUUUUGAGUCUGUGAACUGUGAAGUUGGACUUAUUUGACCUUUUAUUAUGUUUCUCAACUCAAGAUCAUCAUCAAACCUGCCAUUUUGAUUACAUUUUUCAAAUGAAGUGCAGUUGCAUUGAUGUUCCAGAACUGCUCCAAGAUGGAGUCACUAUCACUCUUCUGUCAAAAAGAGGCAAUGCUUCCAGAUGAAUGUCCUUUUCUUCCUAAAAUUGACAACCUCUAAAACCUGUUCUUACUGUUCUAUCAUGCAGUGCAACAAAACAACAAGCAAAAUAAGUGGCAUCACUCAGCCAAACUCCACCACUUGACCCCAAGACAAACAGCUCCAUAUGGCACAGAAGAUGAAGAUCUCAUCUCAUGUCUCCAUACCCAUCAAGCCUCACCAUUUCAAUGACUCAAAGAGUCUCCCAAGAACCAAAUUCUAUAGCUUGAAAACAAAAGAAGCAAUACAACUUCAAGUUUUCCUUCCACCUCAGGAUUAUAAUGAACAGAAUCACCACUCCCUAAGUGCUUCUGGAAUUCUCUGGCAGUUCCUUCCAAGCUAAAAUUGCCAAUCCAUUGUCCUCUCCAUCUCUCUCUACAUAUCCAUCCAAAUCACAUGUGAUUUGCUCUUUCCAGUACCCAAAAGACCUAGCACUGAUUGUCCCGCACACCUCACACAUGGCCCCAAACCAUUGAGUCAUACAAAGUCACAAUUAAAAAAAAUUCCAUGGAUGAUGAUUCCUAUCCUAUCAUUAAUUGAUUGUCCCUCAUCUUACUUGCCCCAAGAUCUUUAAAUACCAAAAAUAAAUAUUAUUUCUAUGAAUUAUAGAAUUUUUGUAACUGGUAAUGGUAGCAUCUCUAGAAUUAUGGGUCCUUACCAUGAAGCCCCAUGAACCACAAAUAUACAGAUCCACAAGAAAUGAAAUCAUCAAACACACUUGCUCCCUCUCUACUUAAACCCCCAUCCAACCCCAUCCUUGCAUCACAAGUUUACUACCAUUCAGUGGCAACAGUAUUCACGAAUGAGAGGAUGAGAAGAAAAGCACCAUAAAUGAGUAGAGAGAGAGUGCAUAGCGAGAGAGAAACUGUAGGAUGAGAGGAAGAGUGAAGAGAGGAAGAGGGAUAGAGGGAGAGGAGUGUCACAAGGAUUUGAUACCGCGUUUGCCGGAUGACAUAGCAUUGGAUUGCCUCGCCCGAGUCCCGCUCCGAUUCCAC
rnacentral:lncRNA from 1 species